AGAUUGAACGCUGGCGGCAUGCCUUACACAUGCAAGUCGAACGGCAGCACGGGAGCAAUCCUGGUGGCGAGUGGCGAACGGGUGAGUAAUACAUCGGAACGUGCCCAAUCGUGGGGGAUAACGCAGCGAAAGCUGUGCUAAUACCGCAUAAGAUCUACGGAUGAAAGCAGGGGAUCGCAAGACCUUGCGCGAAUGGAGCGGCCGAUGGCAGAUUAGGUAGUUGGUGAGGUAAAGGCUCACCAAGCCUUCGAUCUGUAGCUGGUCUGAGAGGACGACCAGCCACGACUGGGACUGAGACACGGCCCAGACUCCGUACGGGAGGCAGCAAGUGGGGAAUUUUGGACAAGUGGGCGAAAGCCGUGAUCCAGCCAUUCGCCGCGUGCGAGGAUGGAACGGCCGUUACGGUUGUAAACGUU
rnacentral:rRNA from 1 species